rnacentral:lncRNA from 1 species
UGCCUUUGUAGGUUUCACAGCAGCAGCCUCCCUGGUGUCCUUGGCUUGGGCUCUAGCCUCCUACCAGAAGGCCCUGCGGGACUCUCGAGAUGACAAGAAGCCCAUCAGCUACAUGGCGGUCAUCAUCCAGUUCUGCUGGCACUUCUUCACGAUCGCGGCCAGGGUCAUCACCUUCGCGCUCUUCGCCUCGGUGUUCCAGCUGUACUUUGGGAUCUUCAUCGUCCUUCACUGGUGCAUCAUGACCUUCUGGAUCGUCCACUGUGAGACAGAAUUCUGUAUCACCAAAUGGGAGGAGAUUGUGUUUGACAUGGUGGUGGGGAUCAUCUAUAUCUUCAGCUGGUUCAACGUCAAGGAAGGCAGGACACGCUGCCGGCUGUUCAUUUACUAUUUUGUGAUCCUUUUGGAAAACACAGCCUUGAGCGCCCUCUGGUACCUGUACAAGGCUCCGCAGAUCGCAGACGCCUUCGCCAUCCCGGCGCUGUGCGUGGUGUUCAGCAGCUUCUUAACCGGCGUUGUUUUCAUGCUGAUGUACUAUGCCUUCUUUCACCCCAACGGGCCCCGGUUCGGGCAGUCACCAAGUUGUGCUUGUGAGGACCCCGUGGCCGCCUUCUCUCUGCCUCCAGAAGUGGCCACGAGCACCCUCCGGUCCAUCUCCAACAACCGCAGCGUGGCCAGUGACCGCGAUCAGAAAUUCGCAGAGCGGGAUGGCUGUGUACCUGUCUUUCAGGUGAGACCGACGGCCCCGUCCACCCCAUCGUCUCGCCCACCACGGAUUGAAGAAUCCGUCAUAAAAAUUGACCUGUUCAGAAAUAGGUACCCAGCCUGGGAGAGACACGUGUUGGACCGAAGCCUACGGAAGGCCAUUUUAGCCUUUGAAUGUUCCCCGUCUCCUCCUAGGCUGCAGUAUAAAGAUGAUGCCCUUAUUCAGGAGCGGUUGGAAUACGAGACCACUUUAUAAAACGAAAGAACUUGCAGGAGCCACAACAUCCAGAUGAAGGGGUGACAGCAGGGCUGUGGCAAUCGUGACACUUCAUCUUACAGUAGGGGCAACAAGCUGCAAUGUUCUUAGUCUGCCCCGUCCUCCUGUUAUGGUUUGAUCCUCCAUCAGCUAACUGCCUGCUGUUGGUCUUCUUUCCAACCAGCAGCACCAGAGUCUCUUAAUCCACCUGAAGGAGAGCAACACCAGCUCAGUAUGACUGUGGCUACCAAAUUCCUCCUGCACUGUCUUGGAGCACCAUCCACCAGAGGGGACUAUUAUUAUGGAAGAGUUUGCCUCCAAUCAAUAGGGUGUUUUAAUGGAGUUAACUGAUUUUUGCAUAAAAAUAUAUUCAGUCACACACACUAACACACACACACACACACACACACACACACCAGUCCUCUGUCAAAAUAGCUUAGGUGAUUUUCUCGAUGCAAAGCUCUGAUUCCUGAAGAAAUAUAAAAACAAAGAGAGAGAAUAUAUCCCUCAAGACUUCAGAAAAAAAAGUAGUACUGCUUAGAAAAGAAUUCAUAAAUCAUUUUCUCAUUUGAAAACCAAUAUCAUGUGUGGAAAAAAAAAAGCCUACUCAAUAGACAGCAAACUCAAGUGUGUUUACACAUGUAUUAGCGUUGAUGGAAUGGUUCAUUUUAUACACAUUUCAGGAUUUGUUUUUUUAAUUUUAAAUUUUCAGUUGAGAACAUCUUUAUGACAGGAAUCCUAUGCAGCACAUGUAUGGCUUUCGACAAGACCAAGGAGCUCGAUAACUUCGUGAUGUAAAUUAAAUGAUAAUCAUCUUUCAGUAUUCAAUUGCAAAAGUUUAAAACAUACACCAAUAGGAAGUGGGGGGAAAAGAGACAGAAUAAAGAGUCUGAUUCCCGGGCAUGUGCAGCUCACAUUGGAAUGUAAGCGCAGGGCCUCCAGAGAGGAGUGGGCUGCAAGUGCAUCUGUUUCCGGAUACAGAAUGAGUGGCUCGCUGUAUGCAUGUGGGCAGGUGUGAUUCCAGAAGACACUAUGCCUCAUCUUUCUAGUGCCAAACUCCAUCCAACCACAGGACUUGACACGGAAGCCCCAGUGACUGAGAAUAAGUGAUGUGAGCCCCCUGAAAGCAGACAAGAGAAUGAACAAGUUCUCCACUGUGUACAGACUUACCCACCUCCCAUCCAAGCUCAAAGUGAUAUCUCUUUUAGAGGCUUUGGGACAAUUUUAGUAAGUAUGAGCAUACCAAUGCGGUGAAUAUGCUAUAAGGAAACCCUUCUGAACUGAUUGAGGGCUUAUCACUCUAUCCAGCUAAGAUUUGUAUUUGAAUCAUCUGUAAAGUCGCACUCUUACAACAAGCUUCUGGGUUUUAAAUACCUCCGUACAGCAAGUAAACGUUCCCUGCUUUCUGUUCUCAGUGUCCUUGGUCAUGGUGCUUUUCGUUGCAUUAAAAGUGCCGGUCAAACUUUGAUAGUAUUUUUUUAUAGUUGGUGCAGAGUGGAAUAACUCAUGGAUUAUUUCAAUAUUUUUGUAAUAAAAACAUAUAGGGUAUACAUAUAGGCAUCAUCACUUUUUUUAUAGACCUGGAAUUAUUUAAAAUACUUUAAGCAUCAUAAUCACUUGGGAUGUCAGAAAUUGGUCCACAAAUUCAUCAGCCUGCCUCGGCAGAUUGAAAACACUUGUCUCUUGCAAGAUCUGCAAGUUGGUGCCCCCAGGAACCUGGCCAGGGGUGCUAUAAGAAUAUCAGGUGAAGAGAGAAACAGCCUAACUAGAAAGGGCUUGUCAAGACUGGCCAAUGUUUCCCAGGAAAUCAAAGAUGUAAAUGAUUAUUUUCAUCCAUUCAUUAAAAUAAACCUGACCACAGUGGAAGAUGUCUUAAACUUCUUUCCCUGGUUUUAUAUUAACCCAACUGAUAGAUUAAAGCUUAUUCAAGUCAUUAAAAAAGAAGGUAAAAAGUCAGAUUAAUGUAAUUAUUUACUUAUUUGGACUGUCCUAGUCUCUUAAAGUGGUCAAGUUCUAGAGCCACUGCCUGUAAUAAGUAUGUCAUCCACAAACUGCUGUCCCCAUGAGGACAUCCACAGGAAGUGACAGAGGGCUCAACCUAGGACUUCUUUUGGUACAAAGCCCCAAAUCAAUUUUUUUAAAGAUAAGACAAUUUUUACCAGUAGACGUAUUUCCUAGUACUCCAUGGCUUGAUCCUCCAAGCAAGAUUUCCACUAAACACAAUCAAAGCUAAUCAUUUUUUCGGGAUGUGGAAAGAUCACCUCGUCACUGGUAAAGCUCCAGGAGGACCCUCUUCUUGUCAGCACAUGGUGAAAAUAUUCCACCCCCAUUGUAGAAGGGGGGAAAAAAAGAUCAUUUUUGGCAAAUCCUUCACCUUUGUGCAGAAUCAUGAGUUAUUAGCUUCAUUAGUUCCAAGACAACUUUUAACUGAUGAUCUGUGGAAACGGAAUUUCUCAGUUGAACUAUACCUUGAUUCCACGAGUUAUAACAGAUGACAAUAUAAUAGUGUCAAGCAAACAAACACGACAGCCCCUUCACUCUUCUUAUCAUGUAAGUUCUAAGUUAUUUCUCAACUUGAUCCCUCACUUACCAUGUUAAGAUUUGAAACAAGGACUAUGUAAAUAAGAGAUAAUGUACUGUCCUUUAUCUUGGAGGUGAGAUUGGCAGUCAGGAGGGUGUGAGAAGUUUGAAUUUUUAAAUGAUUUCCCCAAUACUGUAAACGUUGUUAUUGGACAUUCUUGAAGACUGUGAUGUUUUAGUUAACAAUGAAUUCUUGCUAAGGAAAUG